rnacentral:rRNA from 1 species
UUUCGCAAUGCCCGAAAGGGUGACGAAGCGACGCCGCGUGGGUGAGGAAGGCCCUCGGGUUGUAAAGCCCUGUCAGGAGUUAAGAAAUGUAAGUGUGUUAAUACCACAUUUAUUUGACGAAAGCUCCAAAGGAAGCCACGGCUAACUCUGUGCCAGCAGCCGCGGUAAGACGAAGGUGGCAAGCGUUGCUCGGAAUUACUGGGCAUAAAGAGCGCGUAGGUGGCUUGGUUAGCGGGUGAUGAAAUCCCAUGGCUCACCCAUGGAACUGUUACCCGAACUGCCAGGCUUGAGGACGGGAGGGGAAAGUGGAAUUCCUGGUGUAGCGGUGAAAUGCGUAGAUAUCAGGAGGAACGCCGGUGGCGAAAGCGACUUUCUGGCCCGUUCCUGACACUGAGGCGCGAAAGCUAGGGGAGCAAACGGGAUUAGAUACCCCGGUAGUCCUAACUGUAAACGAUGGGCACUAAGUAGAGGGGUUUU